GCCUCACAAGCGUCCUCUUGUUACUUCUGCAGCAGUGAUAGAAGGGCUGGGGUCCGACUUUAUACGGGUGCGAGGUCGCAGAAGUAAAGAAGCUAAUAAACUCUUUACGAGCCGACGGCCACUUGAUCCGAACCGUAUCACUAGAGAAAGCAUGCCUUGGAUAAGUGGAAGAUUGCCUCCCCAGGACUUAAGGGAAAUAUUGAAAGAAGAUCCAUUCUACAAAAAAGCAGUUGCUUCAGGUCUCGAAGUUAAACUAGGAAGAUGUUCGUGGUCUGCCAAGGCCAAGGAACACCUGUUUUAGCCGAUUGACCUCUAAUCCAGUCGUCUUUACCUUGACUUGUACUUGUGUAUGGGCAUGGACUCUCAGUAACUAACUGUAUUUUCCAACGUAUUUGAUGUAUAUGGUUAUGAUAACUAAGUAACUGAAUUCUAGAUGUAUGUUUCAGACA